rnacentral:rRNA from 1 species
AUUGAACGCUGGCGGCAUGCUUUACACAUGCAAGUCGAACGGCAGCACGGGCUUCGGCCUGGUGGCGAGUGGCGAACGGGUGAGUAAUAUAUCGGAACGUACCCAGAAGUGGGGGAUAACGUAGCGAAAGUUACGCUAAUACCGCAUACGAUCUAUGGAUGAAAGCAGGGGACCGCAAGGCCUUGUGCUCCUGGAGCGGCCGAUAUCUGAUUAGCUAGUUGGUGAGGUAAAGGCUCACCAAGGCGACGAUCAGUAGCUGGUCUGAGAGGACGACCAGCCACACUGGAACUGAGACACGGUCCAGACUCCUACGGGAGGCAGCAGUGGGGAAUUUUGGACAAUGGGCGCAAGCCUGAUCCAGCAAUGCCGCGUGAGUGAAGAAGGCCUUCGGGUUGUAAAGCUCUUUUGUCAGGGAAGAAACGGUAGAGGCUAAUAUCCUUUGCUAAUGACGGUAUCUGAAGAAUAAGCACCGGCUAACUACGUG